CAGUUCGUGAGCUUGGAGUGCUAUAUUGUAUGCCGUUCGGGAGUUUGGAGCAUUCCCUUACAUGCGGUUCGGGAGUUUGGUGUUCUACAGUAGCUGUGCCUGCAUCUCUGAAAGGGGACGAUCGCCUAAACGGUUUUAACCCCUGGUGUGCUGAAACGGUCCAUUACACUCGCCUCCUGUCAUUAUUAAAAUUAAGAUUAUAGGUACACAUCGUUAGCAAAAUCUACAAUUUUACAUGACAGGAGGCUUCAUAUUUUGCAUUU